GAUGAACGCUGACAGAAUGCUUAACACAUGCAAGUCGAUUCGAUUUACCUUCGGGUAUUGAGGAUGGCGGACGGGUGAGUAACGCGUAAGGAACUUGCCUCUUGGUCUGGGACAACUGUUGGAAACGACAGCUAAUACCGGAUAUUAUGAGAUUCUCGCAUGGGAAACUUAUGAAAGCUAUAUGCGCCAAGAGAGAGCCUUGCGUUCCAUUAGCUAGUUGGUGGGGUAACGGCCCACCAAGGCGACGAUGGAUAGCCGGCCUGAGAGGGUGAACGGCCACAAGGGGACUGAGACACGGCCCUUACUCCUACGGGAGGCAGCAGUGGGGAAUAUUGGACAAUGGGCCACAAGCCUGAUCCAGCAAUUCUGUGUGCACGAUGAAGGUCUUCGGAUUGUAAAGUGCUUUCAGUUGGGAAGAAGAAAGUGACGGUACCAACAGAAGAAGCGACGGCUAAAUACGUGCCAGCAGCCGCGGUAAUACGUAUGUCGCAAGCGUUAUCCGGAUUUAUUGGGCGUAAAGCGCGUCUAGGCGGAAAAAUAAGUCUGANGUUAAAAUGCGGGGCUCAACUCCGUAUUGCGUUGGAAACUGUUUUUCUAGAGUACUGGAGAGGUGGGCGGAACUACNAGUGUAGAGGUGAAAUCGUAGA
rnacentral:rRNA from 1 species